rnacentral:tRNA from 1 species
GCUCCCCUAGUGUAAUUGGAUAACACACCAGACUUCCAAUCUGGUAAUGUCGGUUCGAGUCCGGCUGGGAGCU